rnacentral:tRNA from 1 species
CGGGGUGUAGCGCAGUUGGCUAGCGCGCUGCGUUUGGGACGCAGAGGUCGGCGGUUCGAAUCCGCCCACCCCGA